rnacentral:rRNA from 1 species
GUGGGGAAUAUUGCGCAAUGGCCGAAAGGCUGACGCAGCGACGCCGCGUGUGGGAUGACGGCCUUCGGGUUGUAAACCACUGUUGGGAGGGACGAAGGCCCCGCAAGGGGAUUGACGGUACCUCCAGAGGAAGCACCGGCUAACUCCGUGCCAGCAGCCGCGGUAAUACGGAGGGUGCGAGCGUUGUCCGGAAUCACUGGGCGUAAAGGGCGCGUAGGCGGCGCGAUAAGUCGGAUGUGAAAUCCCGGGGCUCAACUCCGGGGCUGCAUCCGAGACUGUCGUGCUCGAGCGUGGUAGAGGCGAGUGGAAUUCCCGGUGUAGCGGUGGAAUGCGUAGAGAUCGGGAAGAACACCAGUGGCGAAGGCGGCUCGCUGGGCCAUUGCUGACGCUGAGGCGCGAAAGCGUGGGGAGCAAACAGGAUUAGAAACCCCGGUAGUCC